UACGGAGGGUGCGAGCGUUGUCCGGAUUUAUUGGGUUAAAGGGUGCGUAGGUGGGUUAAUAAGUCAGUGGUGAAAUACGGUUGCUCAACAAUCGAGGUGCCAUUGAUACUGUUAAUCUUGAAACAAGUGGAGGUUGCCGGAAUGGAUGGUGUAGCGGUGAAAUGCAUAGAUAUCAUCCAGAACACCGAUUGCGAAGGCAGGUGACUACGUUUGAUUUGACACUGAGGCACGAAAGCAUGGGGAGCAAACAGG
rnacentral:rRNA from 1 species